rnacentral:rRNA from 1 species
CCUACGGGAGGCAGCAGUGGGGAAUAUUGGACAAUGGGCGGAAGCCUGAUCCAGCCAUGCCGCGUGUGUGAAGAAGGCCUUUUGGUUGUAAAGCACUUUAAGCGAGGAGGAGGCUACUAGUAUUAAUACUACUGGAUAGUGGACGUUACUCGCAGAAUAAGCACCGGCUAACUCUGUGCCAGCAGCCGCGGUAAUACAGAGGGUGCGAGCGUUAAUCGGAUUUACUGGGCGUAAAGCGUGCGUAGGCGGCUGAUUAAGUCGGAUGUGAAAUCCCUGAGCUUAACUUAGGAAUUGCAUUCGAUACUGGUCAGCUAGAGUAUGGGAGAGGAUGGUAGAAUUCCAGGUGUAGCGGUAGAAAUGCGUAGAGAUCUGGAGGAAUACCGAUGGCGAAGGCAGCCAUCUGGCCUAAUACUGACGCUGAGGUACGAAAGCAUGGGGAGCAAACAGGAUUAGAUACCCUGGUAGUCCAUGCCGUAAACGAUGUCUACUAGCCGUUGGGGUCUUUGAGACUUUAGUGGCGCAGCUAACGCGAUAAGUAGACCCGCCGUGGGGAGUACGGUCGCGAAGACUAAAACCGUUAAAGGGAAUUGGACGG